CAGCCGCCGCGGGAAUGCGAAGGGGGCUAGCGUUGCUCGGAAUGACUGGGCGUAAAGGGCGCGUAGGCGGUUUUGACAGUCAGAUGUGAAAUUCCUGGGCUUAACCUGGGGGCUGCAUUUGAGACGUCAAGACUAGAGUGUGAGAGAGGGUUGUGGAAUUCCCAGUGUAGAGGUGAAAUUCGUAGAUAUUCGGAAGAACACCAGUGGCGAAGGCGGCUUACUGGCUCAUACUGGACGCUGAGGUGCGAAAGCGUGGGGAGCAAACAGGAUUAGAUACCCCUGUAGUCCCUGUCUCUUAUAA
rnacentral:rRNA from 1 species